UGGGGAAUCUUGCACAAUGGGCGCAAGCCUGAUGCAGCCAUGCCGCGUGAAUGAUGAAGGCCUUAGGGUUGUAAAAUUCUUUCAUCAGGGGCGAUAAUGACGGUACCUGAAGAAGAAGCCCCGGCUAACUUCGUGCCAGCAGCCGCGGUAAUACGAAGGGGGCUAGCGUUGUUCGGAAUUACUGGGCGUAAAGCGCACGUAGGCGGACUUUUAGGUUUGGGGUGAAAUCCCGGAGCUCAACUCCGGAACUGCCUUGAAUACUGGAAGUCUAGAGGAUGGAAGAGGUAAGCGGAAUACCGAGUGUAGAGGUGAAAUUCGUAGAUAUUCGGUGGAACACCAGUGGCGAAGGCGACUCGCUGGACAAGUAUUGACGCUGAGGUGCGAAAGCGUGGGGAGCAAACAGGAUUAGAUACCCGUGUAGUCC
rnacentral:rRNA from 1 species